GCAGCAGAGAGUGCAGGAGCAGGAGAAGAUGAGGAGGUGGGAUGGCCAACGAUUGGCCGCAGCAGAUGCCUUGUCAGCCUUCAGAAAACACCUGACACCGUUUGAGCGGACGGAAAUCAAGCAGUACAAAGACGUGUGGUAUUUUGGCAUAGAUGCAGAGAAGGUCCGGGAGACAUGCGCCCUCAACCAUGGUUAUGAUGACAUCGAGGGACACUACAAGAUGGUCAAUACUAACACAUGUCGUCCUGAGGGAUCCUACCACAAACCUUUCAGAGUAGAAGAAUGGGCUUUGUUGGGUUCAGCCGGAUGUAUUUAUAUUAAUGCACAGUUGGUUCGUUUUGAAUGGGGGUUUUAAAUGCAGGUUAUCAACGACCACAUUGCCUACCGCUAUGAAGUCCUGGAGGAGAUAGGUCAGGGUAGCUUCGGUCGAGUCCUCAAGUGCAGAGACCACAAAACCAAGCAGCUGGUAGCCAUGAAGGUCAUUGCGAACAAGAAAAGGGUUGCAGUUGAGGCGAUGGCAGAGGUGGAAAUUCUGGAGCUGCUCCAAAAGAACGAGAAGCAUGACGUCGCCAACGUCGUCCACAUGAAGGAGCACUUCCACUUCCGGAACCAUCUGUGCAUCACCUUUGACCUCAUGGG